CGGGAAGUAGCUCAGUUUGGUAGAGCACUUGGUUUGGGACCAAGAGGUCGCAGGUUCGAAUCCUGUCUUCCCGA
rnacentral:tRNA from 1 species